GCUAACCAUGCAAGUCGAACGCUCACCUUCGGGUGGGAGUGGCAGACGGGUGAGUAACACGUGGGAACGUACCCUUUGGUUCGGGACAACUCUGGGAAACUGGAGCUAAUACCGGAUACGCCCUUUUGGGGAAAGGUUUACUGCCGAAGGAUCGGCCCGCGUCUGAUUAGCUAGUUGGUGGGGUAACGGCCUACCAAGGCGACGAUCAGUAGCUGGUCUGAGAGGAUGAUCAGCCACACUGGGACUGAGACACGGCCCAGACUCCUACGGGAGGCAGCAGUGGGGAAUAUUGGACAAUGGGCGCAAGCCUGAUCCAGCCAUGCCGCGUGAGUGAUGAAGGCCUUAGGGUCGUAAAGCUCUUUUAUCCGGGACGAUAAUGACGGUACCGGAGGAAUAAGCCCCGGCUAACUUCGUGCCAGCAGCCGCGGUAAUACGAAGGGGGCUAGCGUUGCUCGGAAUCACUGGGCGUAAAGGGCGCGUAGGCGGCGUUUUAAGUCGGGGGUGAAAGCCUGUGGCUCAACCACAGAAUGGCCUUCGAUACUGGGACGCUUGAGUCUGGUAGAGGUUGGUGGAACUGC
rnacentral:rRNA from 1 species